CCUACGGGUGGCAGCAGUGAGGAAUAUUGGUCAAUGGGCUUACGCCUGAACCAGCCAAGUCGCGUGAGGGAAGACUGCCCUAUGGGUUGUAAACCUCUUUUGUCAGGGAGCAACGCCGGCUACGUGUAGCCGGACUGAGAGUACCUGAAGAAAAAGCAUCGGUUAACACCGUGCCAGCAGCCUCGGUAAUAGGGAGGAUGCGAGCGUUAUCCGGAUUUAUGGGGUUUAAAGGGUGCGUGGGCGGAAUGCCAAGUCAGCGGUAAAAUCGCGGGGCUAAACCUCGCUCCGCCGUUGAAACUGGCGGUCUUGAGUGGGCGAGAGGUAUGCGGAAUGCGUGGUGUAGCGGUGAAAUGCAUAGAUAUCACGAAGAACUCCGAUUGCGAAGGCAGCAUACCGGCGCCCAACUGACGCUGAAGCACGAAAGCGUGGGUAUCGAACAGGAUUAGAUACCCUGGUAGUC
rnacentral:rRNA from 1 species